CCUACGGGAGGCAGCAGUGAGGAAUAUUGGUCAAUGGGCGCGAGCCUGAACCAGCCAAGUAGCGUGAAGGAUGACUGCCCUACGGGUUGUAAACUUCUGUUAUAAAGGAAUAAAGUGAGGCACGUGUGCCUUUUUGUAUGUACUUUAUGAAUAAGGAUCGGCUAACUCCGUGCCAGCAGCCGCGGUAAUACGGAGGAGCCGAGCGUUAUCCGGAUUUAUUGGGUUUAAAGGGAGCGUAGAUGGGUUGUUAAGUCAGUUGUGAAAGUUUGCGGCUCAACCGUAAAAUUGCAAUUGAUACUGGCAGUCUUGCGUACAGUUGCGGUAGGCGGAAUUCGUGUUGUCGCGGUUCAAUUCUUCGCUCUCAC
rnacentral:rRNA from 1 species